AUUGAACGCUGGCGGAAUGCUUUACACAUGCAAGUCGAACGGCAGCACGGACUUCGGUCUGGUGGCGAGUGGCGAACGGGUGAGUAAUGUAUCGGAACGUGCCCAGUCGUGGGGGAUAACGUAGUGAAAAUUACGCUAAUACCGCAUACGAUCUAUGGACGAAAGCGGGGGAUCGCAAGACCUCGCGCGAUUGGAGCGGCCGAUAUCAGAUUAGGUAGUUGGUGGGGUAAAGGCCCACCAAGUCAACGAUCUGUAGCUGGUCUGAGAGGACGAACAGCCACACUGGAACUGAGACACGGUCCAGACUCCUACGGGAGGCAGCAGUGGGGAAUUUUGGACAAUGGGCGAAAGUCUGAUCCAGCCAUUCCGCGUGCAGGAUGAAGGCCCUCGGGUUGUAAACUGCUUUUGUACAGAACGAAAAGGUUUCUACUAAUACUAGGAGCUCAUGACGGUACUGUAAGAAUAAGCACCGGCUAACUACGUGCCAGCAGCCGCGGUAA
rnacentral:rRNA from 1 species